rnacentral:misc_RNA from 1 species
GAUGAAGAACGUAGCGAAAUGCGAUAAGUAAUGUGAAUUGCAGAAUUCAGUGAAUCAUCGAAUCUUUGAACGCACCUUGCGCUCCUUGGUAUUCCGAGGAGCAUGCCUGUUUGAGUGUCAUUAAAUUCUCAACCAUUAUCAACUUUUGCUGAUAAUGGCUUGGAUGUGGGGGUCUAUUUUGCUGGCUUCUCAGAUAGUCAGCUCCCCUUAAAUGCAUUAGCCGGUGCCCCGCGUGGACUGUCUAUUGGUGUGAUAAUUAUCUACGCUAUAGACAUCUGCAAUCAUAUGGGUUUGCGCUGCUUCUAACAGUCUGUUGAUUCAGACAAUACAUGACAAUUUGACCUCAAAUCAGGUAGGACUACCCGCUGAACUUAAGCAUAUCAAUAAGCGAGGA